UUAUAUUUAAGAUUUUUCCUGUAAUAUAUCGUCUCGUAUUAAUAUAUUUUAUAUAUA
rnacentral:sRNA from 1 species